rnacentral:rRNA from 1 species
GAUGAACGCUGGCGGCGUGCCUAAUACAUGCAAGUCGAGCGAACAGACGAGGAGCUUGCUCCUCUGACGUUAGCGGCGGACGGGUGAGUAACACGUGGAUAACCUACCUAUAAGACUGGGAUAACUUCGGGAAACCGGAGCUAAUACCGGAUAAUAUAUUGAACCGCAUGGUUCAAUAGUGAAAGACGGUUUUGCUGUCACUUAUAGAUGGAUCCGCGCCGCAUUAGCUAGUUGGUAAGGUAACGGCUUACCAAGGCAACGAUGCGUAGCCGACCUGAGAGGGGGAUCGGCCACACUGGAACUGAGACACGGUCCAGACUCCUACGGGAGGCAGCAGUAGGGAAUCUUCCGAAAUGGGCGAAAGCCUGACGGAGCAACGCCGCGUGAGUGAUGAAGGUCUUCGGAUCGUAAAACUCUGUUAUUAGGGAAGAACAAAUGUGUAAGUAACUAUGCGCGUCUGGCCGGUACCUAAUCAGAAAGCCACGGCUAACUACGG